AUACUCAUGUCCUCCUUGUUCCUCCUGAAGCUGCAUUUGUCUGUCGUCGCCAUGUUGAUGGUGUGACACCUGUCCGGGAGAGAUGGCGCUGUCAGAACAGACGUGCUGAUAGAACGGACCUGAACGUUCCAUGGUUGCCAUGUGUUUUAUUUCAGACCUGAACAUCAUUCAAACACAAACAACCUUCUGGUGGUCAGAAAAACACACUCGCUGCUUUCACUGGACGAGCUCUUUGAAAAGGAGACAUCAGCCCUCGAGGUUUUACCCCUGGACAUCCACUUAAGACCGACUGUCACUGGCGAGAGGCCUUGUUCGUGGAAAAUCUUCAGACACCCAGUGAGCCUGGGUUGUUUGGGAACCGUCCUGAGUCCGAGUGGUUGAGGAAUGUGAGGCAAAUCAUGGAGAGGAGAGAGCUGUACGAUGCAGUGAGGCGCAAGAGAUGCAUUGAACGUGAAGGCAGGAGACGAGAGGAGAGAAGAGGAGAGGAGGCGGGAGGGCAAUAUGACAUCAAAACAACCUCAUGUUAACAAGAGAGAGGAAAGAGGAGAGGGGAGGAGGCAGGAGGGCAAUACCAUGUGUAAACACUCUCAUGUAAAUGAGAGAGGAAAGAGGAGAGGAGAAGAGGAGGACAGGAGGGCAAUAUGGCACGUGAACUCAUGUAAAAGAGAGGAGAAACAAACAGAGAAGAAAAGACAUGAAGAGAUGAGGAAAAAGGACAAGAGGAAAGAGGAGAGGAGGCGGGAGGGCAACAUGAUGUGUAAACCUUCUCAUGUAAAAGGUAAAUAUUUCAUGUCAUUGUCAGAUUUCAUACAUUACAUCUCUGUUUACCUAAUUUCUAAAAUGUUUAACCACAACCUGCUUGUCCUCUGUUUUUCUGUUAGAGAGAGAGGAAAUAGGAGAAAGAGGAGGAGAGGAGAGGAGGAGGAAGGCAACAUAAUGAGUGAACUGUGUCAAUCAAAAAGAUGUUUCCUGUUUAACCUGAUUUCUAAAUGUUGAACCACAACCUGCUUUGCUCUGUUUUUCUGUUAGAGAGAGAGAAAAGAGGAGAAAGAGGAGGAGAGGAGGCGGGAGGGCAAUAUGGCAUGUGAACUCAUGUAAAAGAGGAGAAACAAUCAGAGAAGAAAAGACAUGAAGAGAUGAGGAAAAAGGACAAGAGCAGAGGAGAGGAGGGGAGGAGAGGAGAGGAGGAGGGCAACAUGAUGUCUAAACCUUCUCAUGUAAAAG